rnacentral:rRNA from 1 species
UAUUAUAUAAAUGUAGUCUUUUGUUAUUAUGAUAUAUUAAAUUUGUAUUUUGUGUGAGAGUUGUGGUGUUUUUAUAGUGGGUAAGUACUUUUUAGGAGUAGUUUUAUUUUUAUUAAAUUUAGGUUUGCUAAUACCUUUUGUAUUAGGGGUCUUUAAUGUAGAUUGAUGUUAAUUUUUUCUCGAUGAAUAUUGGGCUAUUUAAUUUUAUUUUGCUUUCGUUGUAUAGAUAUCAUGAAAGAUUAAAUAGUUAUGAAAUAUUAUUCAAAAUUUUUGAUAUCUAGUUUCUCUAAAAAUAUAAUGGAUUAUAUGAUUAUUUUGGAUGUAGAUAGGGAUUAGCUUAUUUAUAUUUUAUAUGAUUGUUUUAUUUUGCUUUAUGUGUGAAGUUAAAAGUUCUUAUUAAUAUGGUGUUAUUACUGGAUAAAAAGGUUUUAUAAUUUUUUUGCUCUGUGUUGGAAUAGAGAAUAUUAUAUUAAUUUUGAGUGUAAUGAUAUAAUGAUGAUAUUAGUAAUAUUAGAAUUUAUAGUUGUAGGAUUGGACUAUUGGGCUAGUUGUUGAGGUUUAGUUAUUAAUAGUGAAGAAUUAGGCAAAGAUUGACUUUUGACUGUUUAGCAAAAACAUUGUUUUUUGUGAAUAUAUGAAAAAUAAGUUCUGCCCACUGUUUUAAUGAAGGGCUGCAGUAUUUUGACUGUAUGAAGGUAGCAUAAUCAUUAGCUUUUUAAUUGGAAGCUGGUAUGAAGGGGAAACAGAGGUUGGCUAUUUUGUUUUUAAUUAAUGAAUUUUAUUUUUGUGUGAAAAAUCAUAAGUGAAAUAAUGGGACAAGAAGACCCUAGUAAGUUUAAUUUUUUAUUUUUAAUGAAUAUAUAGGAAUAAAAAUUUAUAUGAUUUGUUAUAUUUAGUUUAACUGGGGCGGUGUGUUGUUAAACAUAACUUAUUUUUUAACUUGAUUGAUGGCGGAUAAAUAGACCUAGGGGGUUUAGAUGAGUGUAAAAUUACUGUAGGGAUAACAGCGUAAUUUUUUUUAAGAGUUCUUAUUAACAGAAGAGUUUGCGACCUCGAUG